rnacentral:tRNA from 1 species
CGGUCGGUGGGCAAUGGCUGAGGCUGCGCCUGUCCAGCGCGUUCGGUCCGGCGCUGCCGAUCACGGCGGUGUCCGUGGCGCUGCCGGCCGGC